AAAAUCAUUAGCACAAUAUAGCUCCUAACAAGCAUACUCAUUUUAGACCCAACUGUCAAACCCAAUCAAGGCUAAGUUCUCACAUCCCUCUUACUCUCUUAGGUCCCCAACCGUACUCGACUCAACUUGGAGUCACUUGGAAACUUUGAAGACAACCAAAGUCGAAAGAGUAACACAUAUCAACGAGUCUUGUUCGACCUCAAGAAUAACUUCAAUUCCUUGGGAAUAGCAUAGAUCUAUUCACAUCGAACACUCAGACAUGCUUGGAAUUCAAGUGUUGAUGGACAACUACAAGAAAGACAAGCCUCCAUGGCUGAACUUUUCAAGAGCCAUUACAUCCAAAGGUGAUUUGCACAAUUGCACCUCUUGCAUCUAAGGGCAGCAUUCCAUGAACAAAGGAGAUGUGUUGGGUGUACUUAGAGAUUGUCGUGUCGCACUCUCUGUGGAUCCUAACCGCCAAAAAAUGUUGAACUGCACAUCAGAGUUAAUAGCCAUGAGU